rnacentral:piRNA from 1 species
UAAAAGUUAUGAAAGAGGCUUUUUUUGG